GGUGGAUCGGGCGGAGGCCGUCAAGCUAGCCGGAAGGGGCUGUGCUGUCAACCAGCGAGCGCAGGAGGUGUUAACCACCGAAGGGAGGUAGAAUGUUUUUCCCCACCAGAGGAGGCAGCGACCACGUCUCCUCUAUGGAGGCAUUCAAGAGCCGUCCAGCUGAAGCAGCAUCACUGUCUGAGGUAAAUACCUGGGGUUCACCAUCUUGCACCAAGAAGAUUAAAGACAUGGACACAUGUGAGUGGGUUGAGGAGCGGAAAUUUUAAUAGGCUGAAGAAAGGAGAGAGGAGAGCAGCUUUCUCUCUCUUUCUAGAGAGAGGCAUCCAAAAGGGAAAAAGCCGGCCUGAGGUGGACCACAGCAGACUUGAUAGGCAGGCUUGAGGAGGCGGCGUCUGAUUUACACAGGGCCCACAGAUUGGUCUGAUCAGGUGUGACGUUUACAUAGCGCUCGGGGAAGGCUGGUCGUCCCACCCUAAUCUUAUUAAACAAAUGGGCUUUCUACUUGGCCAGUACCAUCUUGUCUGCUCCUUACUAUACACGCGGGUGGCAAAGACAGGAGAAGAUGGAGCCACCGUUUUGAACGUGUCUAUUCCCAGCUCGGAAGGCACAAUCCACAUAGGUCUGCAUGGUCCACCGAGCUGCAUACCCACGGGGCCAGCGGGAGGUGGGCAGCUGCUGGGCUCUCUUCUGAAGCAGACAGGAUCUCACUCUGUUGCUGAGGCUGGAUCACAGCUCCCUGCAACCUUGAACUCUCCCUCAAGCAAUUCUCCCCACUCUGCCUUCCAAAGCACUAGCAUUAUAGGCCUAAGCCACCACUCCCAUCCACUGUAGUGUAAACUGUCUCCUUCAAUGUUUCCAAUAGUUGCGGAGCAGAUCAGAUAAGGGUUCUUCCUGUCUGUUGCUUCAAGUUUCAUUCUCUCUUUAAACAAUACAAGGUUGGCUUCCAUGGUUCCUUCUUAAAGAAUGUUGAAGGUGUGUCUUCAGAUUCAUUUAGUGUUCGUGGAACCCCAGGGAAAGCUGAUGUAAAAACCUCUUUUUUCUCCCAUAUGUCUCAAAAAGUUGUAUUUUCUGGGUCCAAGGGAUCUGCAAGCCUCCUAAAGGCAUUUCCAUUGUCACUACCACCAGGUGUGAACUGUAAUCUGGCACGUAUAGUUCCAAGAACUGUCAUAAUAGAUGCUGAAGAAACAUUGUGAAGUUAACUCGCUGUUACCAACUGUGAAGUCAUUAGCUAGAGGAAUCUUGGGCGGUCUGAAAUCUGAGAUACUGUGGAAAGAACAGAAAGAUCCUGUAUCUUUCCUAUAAUUGUUCUACUGGAAGUUGUCAUUUUACACAGGAGACAUUCUGUUUUAUUUAUUUUCUUUUGAGACAGGGUCUCACUCUGUCGCCCAGGCUGGAGUGCAGUGUUGUUACCACAGGUCACUGGUGCCUCCACUGCCUGAGGACUGCUCAAGCAAUCCUCCUGCCUCAGUCCCCUGAGGAGCUGGGGCCACAGGCCUGCACCACCAUGCCUGGCUAAUUAUUUUUAUUUGUAGAGACAAAGUCUAUCUUGCCUAGGCUGAUCUCGAACUCCUGGGCUCAAGUAAUCCUCCCGCGGUGGCUUCUCAAAGUGCUUGGGAUUACAGAUGGUCUUGCUCUGUCACCCAGUCUGGAAUGCAGUGGUGCCAUCAUAGCUCACUACAGCCUGAGCUGUACUGAGCUCGAGGGAUCUUCCCGUCUCCGCCUCCUAAGCAGCUGGGACUACAGGUACUUGCCCCCAGGCCCAGAUAAUUUAUUUAAAAACUUUUUUUGUAGAGACAGGGUCUCACUAUGUUGCCCAGGCUGGUCUCAAACUCCUGGCCUCAAACAAUCCUCUACCUCAACCCCCCUAAGUGCUGGCAUUACAGGCAUCAGCUGCCAUGCCUGGCUACAAAUCUUAAUGUUUUCCCCAUGGCUUCUUUUUCUGGCGUUCUUUUCUCAGGUAAUGGAAGUGGGCAGAGAAUGAUCCUUUCCCUAGGCUCCAGUGUGUAAGAAUUAAAGAAAGAGGAAAGAAACACAAUGGCUUGAUGGUCGAGGACAGGUUUAUUUUAAAGAAAACAAACCCAAGAGUGGCUUCUGGCUGAGUUAGAUCAGAGGCAUGCUCUCUUACAGACUAAGAGUUUUUAAGGAUUCAGGGUGGGAGAGUUUAUCAGAGGCUUGGACUGCUUCUGUGUCUCUUUAGGUGUGCUUAUCUGGGAGGGAGUUGUGUGUCUGUUUCCAUACAUCUUCCUGCAGCUGCAGGCAUACCCCCAGGUCUGCUUUUAGCUUCCCUAUCUUAGUGCACCUGAAGGGAAAGAAUGUGCUUAUUAAGGCCCACUGUUAUACUGGGGCCCAAUGUAUGAGGGUGAAGUUUGGCAAUUACCCAAGAGACUUUCCCCCCACCUCCCUCUGUGCCUGAGCUGUCUCAUCUAUGUUUUACUGUCUGCUCUUUCUGUCUGCUUGUUGUUAGAAGAGAAGUGAUUUUCUUGAAAUGCAUGAGGCUGGAAAGGGAGCUGGCACUUAAAGUGGCGGUGUUUGUCCGAGAGGAUGGUGCUCCUGCUCUGUCACAGUGGGCAUGGGGAUUCAGGCCACUGCCACCGAAUUUCAAGAGCCCAAGCACAGAGCCCAGAACUAAAUUGUGAGGGUUUAAAAAAAAAAAAAGCUUUAUUGAAGUAUAAUUGACAUACAAUAAACUUGAAUAUUUAAAGUGUACAAUUUAUGCGUUUGGGCAUUUGUAUAUACCCCUGCAACCAUCAGCACACUGAAGAUAAGGAAUAUACCCAUUACCCCUGAAAAUUUCCCCAUGCCCUUUGGAGCCCCUCCCUUCAACCCCUCAAAUACUUAAUGCGCUUUUUCCCGAAAGGCAAGAAGAAAGCUUCCCUACACAUUUAUCAAGGCUGUUAUAAUCCUGACUCCCAAACAAGGUAAGGAAAUUGUUAGACACUUAGAGAACACUUUCAACUAUUGUAUUCAGAUGUUAAAAUCCUCAGUAAAAUUCCCAUAACAGUUAAUUGAACAAACCAAUUAUGCAAAAACAUACAAUCAACUAUAAUUGCACCCUAUAGACUCCCCUUUUUAUUCUCUAAUGUGUUAUAUUCCACUAAAUCUUUCUUCAUCUUGCCAGUUUUUCUUCUAAUUUCCCUGCAGCUAUAAUUUUGGCUGAUGCUAUAGUUUGAAUAUUUGACCCUCCAAACCUCAUGUUGAAAUUUAGUCCCCAGUGUUGGAGGUGGGGCCUGGUGGAAGGUGUUUGGGUCAUGGGGGUGGAUCACUCAUGAACGGCUUGGUGCUGUUCUCAUGGCAAUGAGUGAGUUCUCACAUAAUCAGUUCCCUCCAGAGCUGGUUAUUAAAGAGAGCCUGGCAUCUCCCCUCUGUCUCUCUUGCUUCCUGUCUCAUCAUGUAAUGUCUGCACACACUGGCUCCCCUUCUGCCAUGAGUGGAAACUCCUGGAAGCCCUCACCAGAAGUAGAUGCUGUUGCCAGCAGAACCACGAGUCAAAUAAACCUAUUUUUAUAAAUUACCCAGCCUCAGGUAUUCCUUUAGAGCAACACAUAUGGACUAAGACAGUGAUGUUCUCAAUUUACCCUGACAUUGCAUGCAGGCCGGCUGUUUCCUCUUAAGUUCCCGGAGUGGGAAUGUGUUCCGGACAAAGGAUGCUAGUGAGUGGCAGUC
rnacentral:lncRNA from 10 species